rnacentral:sRNA from 1 species
AAUCUGUCUGAGACAUUUGUCACCACAUUGACUGCCAGUGUUGAUUUAGCUGAUUUGGCAGGCUAGGUACCUCAGCAUUC